CUGUCUUAUUUAUAUAUAUUGAAUUUGACUUUUAAGUGAAAAGGCUUAAAUAAAAUAAAGGGACGAUAAGACCCUAUAAAAUUUAAUAUAAAUUAUAUUAUUUUUUAAAAUUAUUAGUUUAAUAUAAAAUAAUAUGGUAAUAUUUUAUUGGGGCGAUAGGAAUAUAAAAUAAUAACUGUUCUUUUUUAAAAAUUAAUUAAUAAUUAAUUAAAUUGAUCCUUAUUUUAAGAUUUAAAGAUAAAGUUACUUUAGGGAUAACAGCGUAAUUUUUUUUAAGAGUUCUUAUCGACAAAAAGGAUUGCGACCUCGAUGUUGAAUUAAAAUUUCUUUAUAAUGUAGCAGUUAUAGAAGAAGGUCUGUUCGACCUUUAAAUUUUUA
rnacentral:rRNA from 1 species